CGGGCGAAGGUUUCAUGAUAUGCGAGUGCUCUGAGGGUGUCUAUAUGCCACCCUGUAGUGGCGCUUAGGAAACCCGUAUACCAUAGGGGCGUUUGCCCGUU
rnacentral:miRNA from 1 species